UACGUAGGGGCAAGCGUUGUCCGGAAUUAUUGGGCGUAAAGAGCUCGUAGGCGGUUUGUCGCGUCUGCCGUGAAAGUCCGGGGCUCAACUCCGGAUCUGCGGUGGGUACGGGCAGACUAGAGUGAUGUAGGGGAGACUGGAAUUCCUGGUGUAGCGGUGAAAUGCGCAGAUAUCAGGAGGAACACCGAUGGCGAAGGCAGGUCUCUGGGCAUUAACUGACGCUGAGGAGCGAAAGCAUGGGAGCGAACAGG
rnacentral:rRNA from 1 species